GGUUGAUCCUGCCAGUAGUCAUAUGCUUGUCUCAAAGAUUAAGCCAUGCAUGUCUCAGUGUAAACUUUUAAACGGUGAAACUGCGAAUGGCUCAUUAAAACAGUUAUAGUUUAUUUGAUGUUCAUUUUACAUGGAUAACCGUGGGAAUUCCAGGGCUAAUACAUGCGGCCUUUCGGGGCGAGUGUUUAUUAGAUUCAAACCAAAACCGUGUAAAAGCGGGUACAUUGGAAUGAUAAUAACCUGUCGAAUCGCAUGCCGUAAG
rnacentral:rRNA from 1 species